AUUUUCGUGUUCACGUUUUUUCAAGAUGCAAAAAUUAUUUCAACGUGUGCCACAAUAUCUUUCGAAUUGACGACUCUGGAAGGUUAUAAUUCUAUUCUCAGACAUUUAUCUUGGAGCUCAAUCAAGAUGCCAUUUAUUGUUGGUGAGAAUGCAAGCCCACCAUAAUGUUUAUUUGAUCAUGAUAAGUUUAUGACGUGCCAACAAUCCCUGCCACUAUAUAGACAUUCUUCCCAGUUGAGAAUAUCACUAGACUUCUACUACACAACUUACACGCCUUGAUAAUGAAAUGCGAGGAGUAAUGAAGAUCUUUUUCGCCUUGAAGCACUCUGUGAAUUACACCAGAAUAGCAGCAACAUCAGGCCACUUGAGAGCAGGGGUGUCAUUGGAGUCCUCCUCCCUUAAAUGUUCAGCUCUCGGACAUUGCACCAAUAAUGCUGGAUUAUACCGAUGUGCAGAUUGUAAGUUUCAUAUAUUCA